UCCUCGAUGGUCUAACGGUCAUGAUUUCCGCUUGUCACUCCUGGAGAACGAGCGCGGGAGACCAGGGUUCGACUCCCUGUCGGGGAG
rfam:Neosartorya fischeri NRRL 181 1099437636264 genomic scaffold, whole genome shotgun sequence.